CCUACGGGUGGCAGCAGUGGGGGAUAUUGCACAAUGGAGGAAACUCUGAUGCAGCGACGCCGCGUGAGGGAAGACGGUCUUCGGAUUGUAAACCUCUGUCUUUGGGGAAGAAAAUGACGGUACCCAAAGAGGAAGCUCCGGCUAACUACGUGCCAGCAGCCGCGGUAAUACGUAGGGAGCGAGCGUUGUCCGGAAUUACUGGGUGUAAAGGGAGCGUAGGCUGUGAGGUAAGUCAGCGGUGAAAUGCCCCCGCUCAACGGGGUGAAGUGCCAUUGAUACUGCCUUGCUGGAAUGCGGAUGCCGUGGGAGGAAUGUGUGGUGUAGCGGUGAAAUGCAUAGAUAUCACACAGAACACCGAUUGCGAAGGCAUCUCACGAAUCCGCGAUUGACGCUGAUGCACGAAAGCGUGGGUAUCAAACAGGAUUAGAUACCCUAGUAGUC
rnacentral:rRNA from 1 species